rnacentral:rRNA from 1 species
CGCGAAUUGCCCUUCGGGGUGCGCAGGCGCGAAAACUUUACAAUGCGGGAAACCGUGAUAAGGGGACACCGAGUGCCAGCAUCAUAUGCUGGCUGUCCGGGUGUGUAAAAUACACCCGUUAGCAAGGGCCGGGCAAGACCGGUGCCAGCCGCCGCGGUAACACCGGCGGCCCGAGUGGUGAUCGUGAUUAUUGGGUCUAAAGGGUCCGUAGCCGGUUUGGUCAGUCCUCCGGGAAAUCUGACGGCUCAACCGUUAGGCUUUCGGGGGAUACUGCCAGGCUUGGAACCGGGAGAGGUAAGAGGUACUACAGGGGUAGGAGUGAAAUCUUGUAAUCCCUGUGAGACCACCUGUGGCGAAGGCGUCUUACCAGAACGGGUUCGACGGUGAGGGACGAAAGCUGGGGGCACGAACCGGAUUAGAUACCCGGGUAGUCCCAGCCGUAAACGAUGCUCGCUAGGUGUCAGGCAUGGCGCGACCGUGUCUGGUGCCGCAGGGAAGCCGUGAAGCGAGCCACCUGGGAAGUACGGCCGCAAGGCUGAAACUUAAAGGAAUUGGCGGGGGAGCAC